UACGUAGGGUGCAAGCGUUGUCCGGAAUUAUUGGGCGUAAAGAGCUCGUAGGCGGCUUGUCACGUCGGGUGUGAAAGCCCGGGGCUUAACCCCGGGUCUGCAUUCGAUACGGGCUAGCUAGAGUGUGGUAGGGGAGAUCGGAAUUCCUGGUGUAGCGGUGAAAUGCGCAGAUAUCAGGAGGAACACCGGUGGCGAAGGCGGGUCUCUGGGCCGUAACUGACGCUGAGGAGCGAAGGCCAGGGGAGCAAACGGG
rnacentral:rRNA from 1 species